GACGAACGCUGGCGGCGUGCCUAAUACAUGCAAGUUGAGCGAUGAAGAUUGGUGCUUGCACCAAUUUGAAGAGCAGCGAACGGGUGAGUAACGCGUGGGGAAUCUGCCUUUGAGCGGGGGACAACAUUUGGAAACGAAUGCUAAUACCGCAUAAUAACUUUAAACAUAAGUUUUAAGUUUGAAAGAUGCAAUUGCAUCACUCAAAGAUGAUCCCGCGUUGUAUUAGCUAGUUGGUGAGGUAAAGGCUCACCAAGGCGAUGAUACAUAGCCGACCUGAGAGGGUGAUCGGCAACAUUGGGGCUGAGACACGGCCCAAACUCCUACGGGAGGCAGCAGUAGGGAAUCUUCGGCAAUGGACGAAAGUCUGACCGAGCAACGCCGCGUGAGUGAAGAAGGUUUUCGGAUCGUAAAACUCUGUUGGUAGAGAAGAACGUUGGUGAGAGUGGAAAGCUCAUCAAGUGACGGUAACUACCCAGAAAGGGACGGCUAACUACGUG
rnacentral:rRNA from 1 species